CUUAUAAUGAUUUUGCAAUUGGCAAAGCAUUUGGCAAAAUGGAAGGGGGGCCACCACUUUGUUCAAGUUCACGGGAGAAGCUUGCAAAAAUUUGAAUUUUAUAUUAUUAAUGGAAGUGGUGUUACUGAUAUGUUUUGCCAAGCCAACAAACCACUUAAUGGAGCUCAUGGUAUUGAUGGUAGAAAAUACAUUAUGGCCCACUUUGCACUCAUCUCACAAUUGCUUCAGAAACAACACACACCACACUUCUUUCCUAAAACGAAAAUUGGCUUGCAUAUAUGCAAUGAGUUCACGGCUUUGAGAAGUUUGGUGCAGAAUUUUUGAAGUGUUUUCCACAAAGUAGCUCACGGCCUAGAUGCUGUCAUAGCCUGGUUUGGUUUCAUAUUCUAACAGCACCAUCUACAUAGAAGCAAGGCAUGAAGGUGGCUGAAAGAAGCACACAGCUCAUGUACAAGAAACGGUGGGCAUUUAAUUUCUGUUCGAAGAAAAGCAAAACACAAGGGCCCCUAUACUUUUUGGCUUGCAAAGUCAAACACGGUUACAUGCUACUUGGAGAAGCUUCCCAUAGUCAGCAAAACAGAGCUUGGAGCUGCAGAGCACGCUGGAGACACACGGCCUGAUCACCAGCCACCACUGAGAAAUUUCUUCACCUUCCUUUACGUGAGCAACACUAAGAGAAGAGGAUUCCAGCAUCUUGGAGAGAAGACCACGACAUGCACAAGCCAGCAGAGGACCUCUCGGUACAGCAGCUGCACCCAGCACUUCACACUCCACGGUCUUGAUCCAGUUGAGGAAGAAGAUGUCCAGCAGCUGCAACAUGUGAAGGGAGAAGAGUUGAGAAGGGUGUUCACGGUUGAAUGGAGAAGAAGCUUACGGAGAAGCUCUAAAGGUCACAUCCAUCCAUUGGGAGUGCAAACGGCUAGCUGGAAGCAGUGGUGCUGGAUGGGAACGUUAAUGGCUGGAAGAAAAGCACACCAUGCACAGCAGCUUGAAGCUUGAAAGCUUGAAACUAGAAGCAGCAAAAUGAAGAGAAGCAAGUUGGGAGAAGAGGACAAAUAUUAGUUGGAAAAAGGAGAGACUCACGGGUUCAGAUGUUUUGUUAUAAAACCACCACAAGCAGCAAAGAAUGUGUAUUAGUUUUCAAAAAUGAUUCUUUGACACGGUUAAAGCAAAUUACAUUCAUUUGACACGCUGUGGGCCCCGAAAACUGUCAACAUCAUGAAGGAUAGCUUGGUCAUUUGACAUUAUGGGCUGGUGCUGAGUUGGCAGGUAAAAAAGUUAAAUGAAACGUUGCGUUUCACUGUGUGGCUUAGGAUCUGUGUGUGGGAUUUCAAAUUUCGAAACGCUCGAGUUAACUUGCUGGCUUAGGAUCGUGUGUGGGAUUUCAAAUUUCGAAAUUUCGAGCUAGGGUUAGGAUUGAGAGAGAACGAGAGAACCAGAGAGAUCGAGGGAGAAAACACAAACCCUACUCCAUUGCUGCCACCGGAGGCUGGACGUGAUAGGAAAAGUUUGUACCAGCGAAGGUGUAGCCGAAGGCAAAGUUCGUACCGGACGUGAUCGAUGUGGAGCGCGGAAGUGUCCUUGUGGAAUCAGCUCUUACGAAAUUAAUUGUUUUGCAUGUAUUACCCUAUGACAUAACUCUGAGGAAUAUUGUCAAGGUUUUUGGAAGUGAUAUUGGGGGCCCAACUGAUGACCUAGUACGUCUAUCAAUACCAAUUGAUACCAACAAGCCUCCAACACGCUCCGUUGAUGACAUUCUAUCGAAAUUGAUUCCACCUCUUCACAAACCUCAAGGCACUGGAUGAAAGAAGAACAAUAUAAAUGGCCUAUGUUAAAACUUUCAUAAUUUCCUUGCCUGUAUUUCAGAUUUAUCGUUGUUGUUUGUUGUCGAAUAUUGUGCGUGGUCACAUGGAUGUGUUAUUUAGAAAAAUUUGUGAACUACUUAACUUAUGUUGAUCAAUUUGUUGUUGCAUUAAGUGCUUA